CCGCUGUGGCUGUCUCCUCGUCAGGUGAUGGUGGUACCUGUAGGACCCACAUUGGAUGACUAUGCUCAGAAGAUCCGUGAUGAUUUCCACCGUGGAGGUCUGAUGACAGACGUAGACUGUGAUGCCAGCUGCACCCUGAACAAGAAGAUACGCAACGCACAGCUGGCACAGUACAACUUCAUCCUGGUUGUGGGAGAGAAGGAGAAGACCAGCGAGACGGUGAAGCGUGCGCACGCGUGACAACAAGGUGCACGGAGAGCGCUAGCGUCAAUGAGUGUAUGGAGCGUCUCAAACAGCUGAAGGCCUCACGCAGCCGCAACGCGGAGGAGGAAUUCUGAUACCGCUGACGGGUCCUUCAGUGAACCUGCAUCUCGGAGGAUUUCAACUUCACUGGUUCAACUUCAAACACAAAGUGCGGAACUUCCGAGUCCUUAGGGGGAGCUCACUCGCUCGGUCUUUUACUUAACUUGACUACGCAUCUGUCUGCAUUUCUUAAUAAAGGUUUUUUUUUUGCUUUUUGAGAUCACAUUCUAAUUCGUUGAACGUUUUGAUAAAACAAAGCAUAAAUCACAACUCUUUCAAUGUCCUCCAAUGUCCUCCAAUGGAACCAAUGUCCUCAAUGGAACCAAUGUCCUCUCUUGUAAUAUAUGAAACUCAUGAUACUGUCGAUGAUCUGUUGUUGGAAAUGUUACAAGGGAUGACCUCUACUUUAAAUUGAUUUAUACCACUUUGCCUCUUUCUCCUCACUGGUUUACAUUAUAAAGGGAAACAAGACAGGGUUACUGCUGUCAACUGUAGGAAUAACCGUUUUCAUGACAUCAAAGAAUUGUAAAUAUGUAAUGCAAUUUUGAAAACGUAAAAAAAUAAAAUAUUUCUUACAUUA